GUGCUCACUUCGGCAGCACAUACACUAAAACUGGAACAAUACAAAAAAGAUUAGCCUGGCCCAUCCGCAAGGAUGACACACAAAUUUGUGAGGUGUUCCAUAUUUUU